ACAUGCCUACAACAUAGCGUUAAUGCAUUGGAUCCCAUUAGAACUCCGCAGUUAAGCAUGCUCGGGCUAGAGUAGUAUUGGGAUGGGUGACCGCCUCAGAAGUCCUAUUGUUUUACAUGCC
rfam:Picea glauca, whole genome shotgun sequence.